GCUGGGAUAGCCAGUUGUUAGGGCAUCGGACUCGUAAUCUCAGAGUUGUGGGUUCAAACCUCAUUCAUUGCA